AUGUAGCAUGGGAUAUAACUUUUGUAACGCCCCGAAUUUUCUUAACUAUGAAAUGUUAAUUUAAUUUGGAUUAGAGGUCGACAAUUGUAGUGGUGUGUGUGAGGUUUUGGAUUCAAGCCCUUUCCUGAAAAUUUUGUUAAUCUUUUGUUCUAAUCCCAUCCCUAAUUUUUUGACUUAAGUUUUAUUUCCGUACAAAUUAUGAUAAAAUGAACUUGCUGAUUUGGUGGUAAGAUGUUUAUUAGCUUAUUUCAAAUUGUGAAAUUUUUGUUGUUGGAAGUUGAGUUUCUAAAUAUUUUUAUUUUUAUUUUGAAUUUAUCGAUUCCUAUUUUCUCUCCCACGACCAACCGUCCAAGCUUUUCACCAAUUCCACGUUAUUUUCUUUCUUUCCUCAAGUCUGCCGUUUUUUUCCCUUCUUCUUGCUCCUUUUUCUUCUUCUUUUUCUUUGACCUCUUCCUUCUUUGUUGAUUAAAUCUUGGGUGCUAUCAAUUAUUUUCGGGUGUUCCGUUACACUUGGAACGUAUUUUGUUCGCUGUGCAAACGGUGUGGAAAUCAAGACCCUCCAACGUAGGCUCGGUUUUAGGAGAAGUGAUCCUCGGACUUACGAUUGAAUGACAACUUUGGAGCCCGGAUUUCACAAAUAUUGGUCUAAGUAUAUUUUGGACUUGUUUCUUUUAUGGAUUUUCAGACUUUUGGACAUUUUAAAUUUGUUUGGGACAUUAAAAUUUAUUUUGGCAUUUGUUUUGCAAAAGUUUUAACUUUAAUCAGUGCUUAAGUCAAGACAACUAAAAUAAACAAGGGUUAUAAGAUUGAUUUGUUACAAAGUUUGUUUUAUCAAGCAAAUGAAUUAAGUUGGACUCAAUUAGUAAAGCUAAGUAAACGAGAUUUUCAUCAACAUAUUCACGGGUUUCAGAAUUGAUACGCUUUUCAACGAGUUAUUCAAAAUUGGUUUUUCUUUAAGCUGAAAGUGGGUUUUCACCAAAAUUAAGCAUUAGUGUUUUCACGUAUCAUGUAACUUCCACAAUCCACAAUCUGGUCAUAACGUCUAGGUCGAAUC